CUAAUACCGGAUAAGAAAGCAGAUCGCAUGAUCUAAGCUUUUAAAAGGUCGGCGUAAGCUGUCGCUAUGGGAGUGGCCCGCGGUGCAUUAGCUAGUUGGUAAGGUAAAGGCUUACCAAGGCGAUGAUGCAUAGCCCGAGUUGAGAGACUGAUCGGGCCACAUUGGGGACUGAGACACGGGGCCCAAACUCCUACGGGGGGAGGGGCAGCAGUAGGGGGAAUCUUCCACAAUGGACGCAAGUCUGAUGGAGCAACGCCGCGUGAGUGAAGAAGGUUUCGGAUCGUAAAGCUCUGUUGUUGGUGAAGAAGGAUAGGAGGUAGUAACUGGUCCUUUAUUUGACGGUAAUCAACCAGAAAGUCACGGCUAACUACGUGCCAGCAGCCGCGGUAAU
rnacentral:rRNA from 1 species